rnacentral:lncRNA from 1 species
AGAGAGAGGAGGAAAAAAACGAAAAAAGGAAAAAAAAAAUUCAAAAAUCACACAGUCGACUGUUAAGAUCGGAUCCCGUCGAGCUCCAAAUCACUACCACCAUAGAAAGUUUCUUAGAACAAGGUGAUUUUUCCAUAUCUAAGCUUUGGAUUUUUCAUUUGAAUUAUUUAUUUAUUUGUCGAUUAUAUGUUGUUAUUAUUGAUGUAAAAUCUUCAUUAUUGCUGAUGUAAUGAUUGUUGAGCUCAUUGAAAUAGCAAUUUCUUGCCAUUUCCAACAAGACAGCUGGUGGACACCGAUUGUAAACAGUCGGCUUAGCCGGCUCCUUUUUUUUUUUUUUUCAUUUUUUGUUUUUAAUUUCUUUUGUUUUUAUUAUAAUUUUUUGAAAUUGUUUUUAACGACUUUUUUU